AGGCUCUGGUUCCCUCUGCGCGGCCGCAGUUCCGGCCUCCGAGCCCCUGUUGCUCGGCGUUCGUUCGCGGGGGCUGGUGGGAUCGGAACCCCGUGCUAGACCGAAAACACGAGCCUCUAAGGCUGAGAGGGGUUUAGUGCGGCUGCGCAGGAGCGCCGGCGCGCGCGAUUCUUCCUGUGGUGGAGCGGGUUUAAGGAGGCGGCUCGCGGGGGUGAGGCGUUUAGGGUGAGGUAACACAGACCUUGGAGCCAGAUUUGCUGGGUUUGUACCCCAGCCCCAACAGUUAAGCGCUCUAUGGCUUUGGGCAACUCAGGUAGCAUGAAUCUCAUCAGCACAGAGAGAAAGCUUCACUGAAAACUCAUUGCAGGUCGCACCCCCUCAACUCAGAUGGCAACAGUGCAGUCAGAGGCCUGCCCUUCUGAGUUUCUGCUUCAGAUGCAAAAAGGGAGAUCGCAGGAGUCCAUGCCCAGCUCCAGCCAAACUCGGUCCACAGGCUGAGAGAGAAUUAUGAAUGGAUGCUGCCUUCUGAUGAGGAAGUCGACUGGGGAGGUCUCUGCGCACGGCGCACUCCAUCAAAGCCGGGGCAUUGGCCCCUCCACUGCUUCAAUGCUGCAGGCAGAGACACCUAAUUGACCACUGGGAAAUCAGGUGCCGGAAGACCUGGGCGGGACGUAGCCCCCGGGCCACGCUGGGAUCGAGCGCCUUGCCUGUGUAGACAGCUUCGAUUUACAGCCCAGUGAAUGGAGGGGACUGCGGCAGCCAAACCUCCCGGGCAGCAGGCACGGCUGCACCAACGCUCUGCAGACAGCCGCCCAGCUCUGUGAGCAUCUCCUGGCUCCACUGGGCUAAAGGGAACCUGCUAAAAAUAAUCCGUCCCCUGCUGCCAGCCGCAGUGAGCUGCAGGACUCAGACCCCAGCCCCAAACUCGGUGGCGCGCGGGAGCCGGCCACAACGCGGGCCCUGUGCACUGAGACAAGCGGGGGGCUGCGGAGGAUCCCGGAUCCGGAUUUCUGGUACCUGUGCGUUUCCUUCUCCGGUAGCGCGACCGCUUGUGCUGCGCGUUACCCAUGCCCAGAGUGGCGGCGGGCUCGGCACAUCACCAUCAGGCUGGACCGACCGCGGCUGCUCAGCACCGCACCCCCGUGGCUCCCUUCUCACCUCCCGGCUCCCUGGUCUCUGGCCAACAGCAGAGGAAUCAGAGACGCCGAUCGUGCCAACUCCUCCAGCCGGGGCAAGAGGGAGGACAGAGACCGGCGUGGAGCAUGUGCCCACGCGCCUAACAGGAUUAGAGCGGCCCGAAUAUUGUAACAUUGCGUCCCCUCCCCCUAGUCAUCUCCGAAACCUCGCAGCCUAGACACAAGUCACCCUGCCCAGGCUUAAAAACACUGCAAAGACAGUGCCUUCCCAGCGACGUGCUAAUCUCCAGGGAAGGGUAAUUAAACCAACUCAGGAUGAACCAGGGUUAAAAGCCACGGCAGUGUGUGCCCAUGCCUUAGGCUGGCAGGUUCUAUAUAUAACAACCACAUGCAGAAGACAGAAAGCCAUUUAGGGCCACGUAAAACACAAUACUUACGGGAUAUAUCCUAAUAUAUAACAAGGGAAAAACCAGUGAAUGAAAUUAUCCAAAAUGUGCCUUGUGGGAGGCAGUUUUUGGUAAUUUGUCUUGAUGCCUUGGAAACCCAUUUAGGGAAAACUUGACUAUUUUUUGACCAGGCUACCUAUUUUCAAAUAGGGAGAUUUAUGCCCUGGGCAGAUUUGCAUGCCAGAGCAGUGCUGCGUCCACGAGGCCCCUGACUCUUCCAUAAUUCACAAAUUGUGGUGAAACACUCGACUUGCCAAGGUCACAAGAAAUCACAGGGUUUGCGCAAGCACUGGUAGAGAGUAUUUCCUAAUUGGCAUUACUAUGAAUUAUGACUGUGGUCACAUAAGUACCACAUGCAACCCAAGUUAGUCUGGGUUGGCUGCUCUCCUCUGACCCCACUCACACCAACCUCCUCGGAGGGCUGCCAGCCUCCAGCAGAGACUGGAGAAUGUGGCUGGAGUCCCCCCUGGAAGAUAGAGCGUGCCUAGGUCAGGAGGGAUGAAGUGGGAGGAGGUGGCACUGUCAGUCCCCCAGUGAGGCUGAGAAGAGUCAUGAACCCCAAAGUUUAAGGGGUGGGUAGGCAAAGGAAAAGAGCCCACCAGAGACAGACAGGAGUCAGAGACACAGCAGACCAGGAGGGUGGGAGGGCCCCCUCUUAGAAACCGAGGGACCAAAGGGUUUCAUGAAGGCGGCAUGAUCAAGAAUGCCAGACGUCACUGAGGUGUCAGUGGGGGCAGUACCCACCGCUCCUUAGUCUCCAGGAGGCCUAGUGGAGUGGCCACGGGGGGUGUGGGGUGGGCGGGGAGGCCAGUCAGAGCUGCUGAAAAGAACAGGGAAGUCUUUCCCUUAGACUUGCUCAUCAAAGGACCAGCAGCACCCGGGAGCCUGUUAAGGUGCGCAGAGAGCUCCGGGACAGACUCCACUAGAGCAUGGGGAGCCCCGCCACGUGUGGACUCAAACCGCUCAGGCCCUGAAAUGAGAGUUUAUGUUCGGACAAGCAAAAUGGCCACCCUCUACAGCGAUCCCUGGCAAGAUCAUGGGGAGCUGGUGGCCAAAUUACUAAUCACACAUCCCAAGGAGAUGAACCGUGUUGCUCCGGGUUUUCAGGGCUGCUCUAUCAAGGGAGAGCCUUGGCAGUGAGGCCUGCAGAACUCAUAUGAAGUGAUGAAAACGGCCAUCCAUGUCUUCCCCUUCGCACUGAUCUUUACAAUAAUGACGUUGUUGUUAACAGUGGUGAUGAAAAUAAUGAUAUAACUAGAUUACUUACAUCUGGAUAAGGUUUUAGCAAGUCCUGUGGUAUAGAGAAAAAAAAAAAGAGAAAAAAAACCCCAAAACAACCCUGGACUUUGGUCCCGGAAAGACCUGUGUUUGAAUCCUAGCUCCUCCACUCUUAGCAGUAUGGCCUUUGGAAAAUCAUUUGACUUCCCUGAACCUUGGUUUCCUCACUUGUAAAAUGCAAACAGGAAUGCCUAAUUUAUAGGGUUGUUAGGAAGAGGAAAUAAAAUAAUAGAGACAAAGCACCAUGAUGGUGCCUGGCACAUAAUAAAAGCCCAGUGAAGGUAGUUCCUUCCUUGAGACCUUCCCGCACAUGCUCAUAUUGUAGUUUUUCUGAGUUCCCUACCCCCUUUAUAAGGUGGUUAGGGUCCCUGAGGCUUCCUAUGGCUUGAGGGUCCAAAAAGAAGUACUUAUUGAACAUCGCUUAGAUGCCAGCUACUGUGCUGGGUUCUGGCGGGGACAGAGCAGACUCUGGGCCCUGCUGGAGCUGGCAUUCUAAGGGCGGAGUUUACAUCCCAGCCCAUGUGGGUGUCCUGCUUGUUUUUUUCUGUAAGCCAAGGGUACCAGGUCUCAGGAGGAAAAGAACUGCAAAUGUGUCCUCCCUUUAGGACAGUGAUGAUCUAGAGCAGUGGUCAGCAAACUCCUUCUGUAAAGGGCCAGAUAAUAAAUAUUUCAGGCUCUGAAAGCCAUGCGGUCUCUGCUGCCAUGACUCCAUUCUGCUGUUAUAGCUCAAAAGGCAUAAAUGAAUGGAUGUGACUGUGUUCCAAUAAAAUUUUAUGCACAGAACAGACGGGGGGUGGGAGUUGGCCUGAGGGCCCUAGUUUGCCAGCCUCUGAUCCUUCAGUGUGACUCAGGACAGGACUAUUCCCUUUAACUGGUAUUACCAGGAAGUGUAUAAGUCUCCAUAGGUGAUUUUCCAUACAAUUCAAGUUUAUCCUACCAAGAGCAGUUUACUGAAGCUCCUUGUUGUGUCAGAGCAUAUUUUAUACUUUCCCCGGAAGAGACUGGCUAGUUAGUUGUUCAGCAAACUGUCUCUGUCUUUCUCCUCCAGCCAGCCUCCCUCGCACUCAAGUGCAGCCAUGCAACUGUGUGCUAGCCAGUGGGAUGUGGGAAAGGGCUGUGUGCCUCCAGGUCUGGCCCAGAAAAGCUCCUGCCCGUUCCUACACACACUCCCUUCUCUCCCCCGCAGGAGGAACACAGAGGCUCUACAGGGUGGAGAAACCCCAAGAUGGAAGGCGCCUGGGUACCAAAUGACUGCAUGCCGACCUGCAUUAGACUGCAGUGUGAGAAAGAAGCCACUGAAAUGUUGGGGGUUGAUUACCAGAAUUAGCCUACCUUGAGCAAUUCACUUUCCUAUCUCUUUAAUCAGAUGAUACAAAACACAAUUUAAUGCUUUGCUGAUUACUUAGGGUCUUUAUUAAGAAGGCUUAUUAUUGGUCUCUAUGGCAACACAUUUCAAAGACUCCUUUUUGGAUUUCCAAGCUCUUUCCCUGAUGUUUAGUCCCCACUAUCAUUCCUCUCUCACCCUUCUUCUAGGUCCUUCCCCAUAGUUUGAAUCCACGGUGGGCUGAGGAAAACAGACACCAUGGCUGGGUAACAUCUGCCCAUCGAAGAAGAGUUACUAGUGGUCUGAGCAAGAACCUAAGUGAGAAAGUGCGUGGGCUUGCUGACAACUAUUUGCAGCCUUGGGAAGCUCCUUCCACUUACUUUCAGGCUUAGUGCUGUGUUCCAGAGAGCUGAAGUUAAUGCAUCUCUGAAAAGAGUGGGGCAUUUUGGCAUUGUCUAGCCUACAAAUUUUCAAAGCUUUAAUUCUCCUACUAGUCAUCUUGGGGGGAAUCUACAAUAAAGGUUCUAAUUCUGUCCCUUGACAUUCAUGGGCUAUUCAACUUUCAAAAUACUGUCACUUCCUGAUUUUCUACACAUAGAGGAUACCCAUCAUAUGCCCCAAAUCUGUUUUAAACUCGCCUUUCCUGCUUAAUUAUUUCGUUGUCACCUAUCUUAUAGGAGCUGGAAGAAUCGACUGGAAAAGGCUAAAAAAUUUUAUUCCUGUUCCAGAGGUGGUAUAUUAUCUUUAUAUCUUGGGACAAUUUACCAGGAAACCCAGCUGUGCUUUAGACCUGGUCUUUGGAUUAUUCUGAUAGGUGGGGAUGCUGUCCCUUCCCAGCAUGAGGUGGGCAGCAGGAGACACAUUGGUGGGGCAGAUCAAGGGGAGAGAUUUGGGGAGAGGCCUACAGACUCCACAUACCCUGACAGUCUGAUUUCACUAUUUUAUUGAAAGAACCAAGAUGACCGUAUGUAAGUGAUCCUUUUGGUCUGUUUCUUCAUCUAUAGAACAAGGAGGAUGGAGAUGAUCUGGGAGGUUUUCACUAGGUCUCGCGCUGGAAGCCUAUUGUUCUGUGAAACCUGGAACCAGCACCACCUUCUGAAAUGAUUCCUCAUCAUCAGUUCUUAUUUCUUCUUGCCAUUUCUGCUGAUCAUCCAGAACUGACCACCCUACACGUAAAUUUCAGCAUCUGCAAGGGCAGUAAUAUGUUCUGGGAUCUGCCCAGCCUGGGUAACCUUUUUGCCCCAGGCUGACCUUGUUGGUGACCUUGGGGAUCCCAAUUCCAGCUCCACUCUCCACGAUACACACCCUCUCCAUAUGUUUCCCUAAGGUGGCUUCCCCGCUUUACUCUCUUUGGCUCCAAUGACAGAAACCCAGUUUGGCCGCCAAAGUUUAUUUCCCUGGAGCAAGUUGGAUGUCCCUGCACAGCUAUGGCUGUGGCGGAGCGUUACUCCUCAUCUCUCCUAUUAGCAGCAGCACGUCGCUACCGCUGCCCCCGUCCACUGCUCACAGGAAACCCCGCGACUUCCACAAGAAAUCACUGCUAUAAAGUGGCUCACUCGUUCAUAAGGAACUAUGUGUUUAUUCAUAUAUACUUUAUGUCACAACAAAUGUAAAUUAAUUUCAGGGCCCAACUACCCAAGCUAGUAUCUAUAUGGCUGCCUGUAUAAAAUUUCUCUCUCAAAAUUCUCAAAACCAUCUGGCAUCAACUACUGUAUUGUGACCUGUUAAAAUAAGUAACAGCUGUGAUAAUCCCUCUCGAUUUAUGGCAAGCUAUAAAGCUUUGCAUAUACUGGCAAUGCAUAUAAAAUAAUAAAUAAAACCAUUAUCAUUCUGUGCUGUCUUGAUGGGAAUUAUGAUGAUUUAGCCAAAAUGGAGCCCCAUGGAAUGCAUCAGAGAAGCACAGGUUUUGCCCAAUCUGGCCUGCUUUAAGCCUCCAAAGACCAACCUCACUAUUUAGAGCUCCUAGAUGUUUGCAAACUUUAUCCAAUGUAGAUGCAUCCUUUCUGAGAGAACAUCAUUCCCAUCAUCAUUUCAAAGCCUUCUUUUCUGAUGGUGAGUUUCCAGAAUUCCUCAGCAUAUCCAGACCAUAAAGAAAACCAACCUAUGCACAAUGCAAAAAUGCGAAAUAAUUUGUAGCACCGAAACCAAGAAUCGUCUUGGAAUCGUUACCUGUAAGCUUAUGUCUACAAAUACUGCCAAGAUCCCAGGUUGAAAAAUACUAUAUCACGGUCAUCUCUCUAAAAUAUACAGUAUGUGGAAAAAGAAAAACUGGUAGCUGGCAGAGAAAGCAACUGGGCAGCUUUGAUUCUAAGUAGAAGUUACUACGUCCACUGCACAUGAAUUUCAAAAAAUUAAGGGGAUGGGGAAGGAAACUAGCAUGAAGUGGCUCUUUACUAUGUACUGGGUGUUAUACCAUAAUCUCAUUUAAUCCUCACAACAGCCCUAUGCCUUAGGUAUUACUAUUCCUGUUUUAUGGUUGAGGAAAUUGAUGCUUAGAGAGGUUAAGUAACUUGUCCAAGGCCAUCCGGCUAAAAGUUGGGGAGAUGGAGUUUGAACUUGGAUCUGUCUGAUUCCAAGGCUCAUGCUCUUUCCACCUCACCACACUGCCUUUUGGAUAGCUGUUCACAAUCUUUUAACACUAUGACCCACGUGGUAGAUAGUAUUUACACGGAUCACUCAUUGUCAUGGCCACGGGCAAUUCCUACCCCUUCUGUCCCACUUACAAAGUCUAUUUGACUGCAGAUGAGAGUUACCUUAUUAGUGGAAGAACUCUAAAUCCAUUUUUUUUAACAUCCUUAUUGAAGUGUAACUAACUGGCUUUACAAUGUUGUGUUAGUUUCUGCUGUACAGCAAAGUGAAUCAGCUGUAUGUAUACAUAUAUCCCCAUAUCCCCUCCCUCUUGUGUCUCCUUCCCACCCUCCCUAUCCCACCCAUCUGGGUGGUCACAAAGCACCGAGCUGAUCUCCCUGUGCUUUGCGGCUGCUUCCCACUGGCUAUCUAUUUUACAUUUGGUAGUGUAUAUAUGUCAGUGCUCCUCUCUCACUUCUUCCCAGCUUACCCUUCCCCCACCCCGUGUCCUCAGGUCCAUUCUCUAUGUCUGCAUCUUUAUUCCUGUCCUGCCCCUAGGUUCUGGGCAUAUACCCUGAGAAAACCAUAAUUCAAACAGAGUCAUGUACUACAGUGUUCACUGCAGCACUGUUUACAAUAGGCAGGACAUGGAAGCAACCUAAGUGUCCAUCGACAGAUGAAUGGAUAAAGAAGAUGUGGCACAUAUAUACAAUGGAAUAUUACUCAGCCAUAAAAAGAAACAAAAUUGAGUUAUUUGUAGUGAGGUGGAUGGACCUAGAGUCUGUCAUACAGAGUGAAGUAAGUCAGAAAGAGAAAUACAAAUA